rnacentral:rRNA from 1 species
CAGUCGCCGCGGGAAUACGAAGGGGGCUAGCGUUGCUCGGAAUGACUGGGCGUAAAGGGCGCGUAGGCGGCGAUCAAAGUCAGGCGUGAAAUUCCUGGGCUCAACCUGGGGGCUGCGCUUGAUACUUGGUUGCUUGAGUGGGGAAGAGGGUCGUGGAAUUCCCAGUGUAGAGGUGAAAUUCGUGGAUAUUGGGAAGAACACCAGUGGCGAAGGCGGCAACCUGGUCCUUGACUGACGCUGAGGCGCGAAAGCGUGGGGAGCAAACAGGAUUAGAUACCCGCGUAGUCCCUGUCUCUUAUAU